rnacentral:rRNA from 1 species
AUACGUAGGGGGCGAGCGUUGUCCGGAAUGAUUGGGCGUAAAGGGCGCGUAGGCGGCCCGGUAAGUCUGGAGUGAAAGUCCUGUUUUUAAGAUGGGAAUUGCUUUGGAUACUGUCGGGCUUGAGUGCAGGAGAGGUAAGUGGAAUUCCCAGUGUAGCGGUGAAAUGCGUAGAGAUUGGGAGGAACACCAGUGGCGAAGGCGACUUACUUGACUGUAACUGACGCUGAGGCGCGAAAGUGUGGGGAGCAAACAGGAUUAGAUACCCUGGUAGUCCACACUGUAAACGAUGAAUGCUAGGUGUAGGGGGUAUCGACCCCUUCUGUGCCGCAGUCAACACAAUAAGCAUUCCGCCUGGGGAGUACGGCCGCAAGGUUGAAACUCAAAGGAAUUGACGGGG